rnacentral:rRNA from 1 species
GACAGAGGGUGCGACCGUUGUUCGGAAUUACUGGGCGUAAAGCGCGUGUAGGCGGCUUGGCAAGUCGGGUGUGAAAGCCCUGGGCUCAACCUAGGAAGUGCACUCGAAACUGCCGAGCUGGAGUUCUGGAGAGGAAGGCGGAAUUCUCGGUGUAGAGGUGAAAUUCGUAGAUAUCGAGAGGAACACCGGUGGCGAAGGCGGCCUUCUGGACAGUGACUGACGCUGAGACGCGAAAGCUAGGGGAGCAAACGGG